ensembl:lncRNA
ACGUGGGUUGUUACUUUGCUCCACAAAGGUGAGGUGAGAGGCCUUGCUGGAAUGGAAUGUUGCAGGGAUCCCCACAGAAUCAUCUUCUAGGGGAAAAAAAAAAAUCGUUGCUGUUCUCUUAUGCACGUUCUCCUAGGGCAAUAAACUUGGGUCAGUGAUCAGAUCUGAACUUGUCCUCAGGCUCUGCUAGACCAGCUUCAUUCAGAGAAGAGGGUGGGUAUUAUGAAAGCUAGUCUGUAAGGGCUAGGUCUUAAACCUUGGGCCUUGUCACACUGAUCCUUCCUGAUUCCCUCUUAAAUCAACUACUCCAUUUCUAUGCUACCUGCAUGUUAGGUCUUUCCAAGCAUUAGCAGAUCCCUCAUUUACUCAGCUUUUACUCCUUCCUUUCGUAGGAGGGUCUUCCUCCAACAGCUGAGAUGGGCCUGAGAGCUCUAUCACCCUUCUCGUCUUUGCCGAAUUCUGCUGCACCUCCCUAGGGGUGGUCCCCACAUGACUGUAGUAAUGAGAAAGCUAGGUGCCCUCUCACCCCAGUUACCACUGCUCCUUCUCCCUGGCAUGUCCACGUCUGUUUUGAAUGAAUCUUCAUUCUCCAGGUGUAUCCCAGAACUUUCUUGUCUUUGUUAAAGACCUACCUCACAGUUUCACAAUUCAACACGGGCACCUGGUUCACUUCUUUCCUUCCUUUACUCUGUCCUUGCCUUCAUAAGGGUUAGGAGGAUGGGGGCUACAAAGGUCUCACGAUCAAUUGCAAAAUCUCUUGGUUAUUUGUUUCUGGAAUGUCUUCUUUGAGAUUUUUACCUCCUUUAUCACCCCAGAAUAGUGUGAACUCUUCAGUUAGGUCUUGCUGUGGUAUGCCAGGAGGAUAGGCUGAGUAAUGAGUGCUUAGAAUAUUAAUUAAUGCUUGGGAGCCACCCCCAGGAACACCAACAUGGGAGCAGAGCUGAGAACUUGAGAGGAUAAGAGUUUGCCAGUGGCUGCCAUGAGCUGAGAAGGUAAACAUGCACCAGAGAGGGCAUCUGGGAUUUUUAUAGGGCUGAAAGCAGAGAUGCUCCUUCUCCACCUAUUCCAGUUAGUUUAGAGGGUCACCAAAACAAAACUUCCAGCCUGGGGUGUGAUAAGCUUUCCUAGCCUGAGUAAAGAAAAGUUCUUGCCCCAUUACUGGUGUCCACAUCCCCCAACACACACAUUUUUUUUCGGGUGGCCAAGUGCUCUCUAGCAUGCACUUAUCACCUUGGACAGGAAAUAAGUUUAAUUUAUACUCAAAACACAUUUUUUCUUUAUCCAGAGGUUUCCAGUUUUAUACUCUUGCCACGUCUGUGCCAAUGCUACCCAUUCUUCUGACCCUUGGUAUUCACUUGUUCCUUCCCUACAAUUGGGUAGAACUUUGUCUUAUUUCAACUUUUGAAAUAAAACACAAAAGUCUACCUCGUGGUGUCUUAUCCAUGAUUGGAAGCUGGGAAGGUGGUGUUGAGCACAUAUAUUUGCUAUAAUGGGAACACAGGUGGCAGCUUAGGAAGCCAAGGCCAUGUCUCACAAGGCAGGAACUAGGGACACUUGAAUCCUUUGUUUUAGCACCUCAGCCAGGAGCACCUGUUCUACCCACAUGAGCACAAAUUCUGCCUUGGAUGCCUCUUGCACAGGAAGGGCCAAGCUUGGAGGUUCAGAGAUAAACUUUGAAGUUUAGAGGCAUAUUUCUCCCCGGCCUGUGGUCUCCUACAUCAAACCAGUCGUACUCACCCUAACACCCAGCCUUCACCUUUAGGCAAGUAUGAAAACCUAUGUUGAAGGAAGAUAAAUACAGACUCUUUUGAAUCUCUAUCAAAUGUGGUUUUUAUUCAACUGACAAGCACUUUUCUACAGCUGCACUUGUGGAACAUCACAUGGCAAAAACAGGAGUUUUUUUCUCUAGACUUUUUUUUCCUUUUUUUACCUUAUUAAAAAUGAGAUUGGUCCUAAAAAUAUAGAAAGAAAUAAAUUUAAAUUCACAAAAAACUGUACAUUAUCAAAAAGUCACUAAAACACCACAUUUGGUUAUAUAAAAAGUCAAGUCCCUUUUGUUGUAAAAGGAACGUGGAAAUUUGUUGGUGUUGAUGGUGUGGUUUCUUCCUGUUUCCAGACUGAUAGGCGAGGGGAAACAAAGGGGUAGGGGUGGGUUUUAUUUACUUUUUUAACUUGCCUUCCCUACCAAAUACUCUUAUUUGUCAAAAAGAGAAAAUCCACCUAGCUCAAGGGGCAGAGUGAAGAUGAGGAAAGGAAAGUGAGAAACGGCCCCUUUGGUCAUGCCCUCCCCCCGCCCCCCAUCAACCCUCACUUCAAAUUGAGGCUAGGACUCCACCCACCCCACCUUAAGAGUGCCUGGUCCCUAGGGAAAGAGAUGGAGCUGGGAGAGGAACACAGAACAGGAACAAUCAAGAUUUCACUCCCCCGUCCACCUAACCUCCAACAGUAGAAUUAAUCUGGAACAUUUUAUAGCAGGGUAAGACUGCCAUGGGGAAAAGAAGAGCCCCCAACUACAACAGUUCCAAAUGUCUGACUAACACAAAGUUUGUUACAGCGCAGUUAUUUAGAUAAAAUAUAAAUAUUUAUGCAUAAUAUAAAGUCAAUUCAAAUAUUCUUCAAUCCACCUCUUAUUU